CCUAAAAACUAACCCUAAAGACUGAAGUCCUAACUCCUAAACACUCUCACACUCUCAUCUCACGCCUCAUCUCAAGCUCUCUGCCUCUCAACUCAAGCUCACUCUGUCUGCCUCUGUUACCUUGUUCGGCAGCCUUCAAUCCUCAGGUUUCCGGUGAAUAACACUAGAGUCCUCUCUCUUUCUUCGGUUUGUCCCAUUGGAGAAGUCAACAACAGUUCGUCAGUUCCAUAAAGAUUGGAUCUUUGGAGUCACUUUGCUCAGGGUCACCAGCAUUGCCCUCCAGAGCACAACAACUGGCUUCAGAUUCAAUUUGGUUUUCGGGUGACAUCCUAGAGGUUUUUUUUUUUUUUUCCUUCUCGGUCUCGCCCUCGCCCUCUGAUCUCUGAUCUCUGCUCUCUGCUUCAUCAGAUUCUCCGUUCAUGUUCUUGUCUUCAUCUCAGGUUCUCCAUUCCGUGACUUCACUGGGAGUUCUACGCAAACUUCCAUAACCAAUAAGAGCUCUCUGUCGAGACCAUUGUUAAAGGUGUCUCGAUUCCUCUUGCUCCUGCAUUUCUUGGUAAGAUCAUUUGUCUUCCACUUCUCAACGAUGUCCCUAGUAGAAAGUUGUAUUAGACUAGAGAUGAAAAGGAAUAGGAAAAGACUAAAAAGGACACCUGAGAUGGUGAAGUCCAUCUGUCCAUGACAUGCGUGAAGUAGUACUUCUUGUUUUUUGCUGAAUGCGUGAAGUAGUACUUUACUAGAACUAAUGGCUUUUUAUAGCAUCAUUCUGUAAGUCUUUCAUUUAUGUUGUAGUAUUUUAGUAAAAAUAUUACAACUUAUUUAGCAUUUAGUAUGCUUAAUUUUCUUAUAUAUAUCUUGUUGCGGGCCAAACAAUAUUUCUUUUAGAUUUGUUCAUGGUUCAUUGAAUCUAGUGGCUUACCACUUGUCACAAAUUGGAUGUUUCUAUCAAUUUCUUGACAAGAGAGGUGAUUAGAAUAUAAAAGUUUGGGUGUUCAGAAAAGGUUUGAAGAGUGUAGCUAUUUGCAAAAUCAAAGUUCUGAAGGACCUCACAAGUUAUGUGGAAGUCUUUUAGAAUUUUGAUCUUGCAGGGAGCUAUACUCUUCAAAUCUUUCCUAAACACCCAGACUUUUACAUUUUGAUAACCUCUCUUGUCAAGAAAUUGGUAGAAACAUCCAAUUUGUGACAAGUGAUGAGCCACCAGAUUCAAUGAACCAUGGACAGAUUGAGAAGAAAUCUUGUUUGGUCUUACAACUGUUGUUUUAACAUCACUCAAAAAGCUCCAACUUAGAUUUGCAGAUACAUCUUUUUCUCUUUUUCCAGACUAAAGUAAAUUUGGGAGCCCCUCCAGGUCAGUCUCUACAUGCAAAUCGGUCAUGAAUUUUUUCUUAGUUAAAUAAGUUGUCCAAAAUCUAGUUCUAGCUUUGGCAUUGAUGAGCACCUUCUAACAGCUUUCAGAGCUUAUGCCCACUUACCAUUGUUUAACUCAACUGUUUUGUAAUCACCAGCUGCAUGAUGCGUCUAAAAAUGAACCAAAGAUUUGCUUUGUAGCAACUGAAAGCAGUUGAGAAUCACAAAAAUUUGUAUCUAAUGAACAUUUAAGACUAUGUAAAUGUAAAAUGGCAGGAAUACCGAUGGGUCACCAACUUUCUGUCAAGGUCAGGAUCCAGUUUAUCGUGACUUGCUAGUGGCUUUAGAACUCGCCACGUGGUCUUGAUGAUAAAUCCAUUAGUUCUUCAGCAAAUUUGCAUCAUAAUUUUCAUAACUUUUUUCCGUACGUUAUUGAUUUGGUUGUGCAGGACCAUGAAGGAAAUGACAAAGAAGCCGCUAUAUUCUUUAAAUAAAAGAACCAACGAGGUUGGUAGAUAUAAAUGAAUGUCAUCUCAUCCAGAUAUUUACCCAAAAAAAAAAAGUCAUCUCAUCCAACCAAUGGGGUUCAUGUGCUAUCCUACACCACCAAUGAAUGAGUACCAUCUCACCUUAUUUA